GUUCCUGAAGUUUUGAGUUCAAAAUAAUCAUUUUAAAGAUGUGGAGUAAUUGGCAAAGAUAAGGGUACAUUAUAUGGGUCGGAACAAUGGUAAUAUGUCCAUGGUCAUCAACAAGAGUGUGAUUUGCAUACCUUUAUACGAUAUUAUUAAAGGUAUUAUUGUUGCUUUGUCGAUUUUUGUAGGCUCUUUUGGACGACAAAAAGGUAAGCUAUCUUACAGUUAAACAGUUGGAAGAAGUAGAAAUCGAACUCUUCCAAGAUAUUUUCCGAAG
rnacentral:lncRNA from 1 species